CAGUACUUCCGGUGCGGGAAACUCCUCGCUGCGGCUCCGAGGGGGCUUGACAGGCUCGGUCCCUGCAAGUAGGUCUCUCUGCUGUUGCCUUCCUUGCGUCUAACCUUCCAGCUCGUUUGCCGCUGCCGUCCCGCCACGCCGGUCUCCGAAGCCGCCCCUUCCCCAUGUGCCGGGGCAGGAGUCCGGAAAGCCAAGACCCGCUCGCCGGUACCCCAUCAUGUCCGAACUGACUAAAGAGCUGAUGGAGCUGGUGUGGGGCUCCAAGAGCAGCCCCGGUCUCUCUGACACCAUCUUCUGCCGCUGGACGCAAGGGUUUGUGUUUAGUGAAUCAGAGGGAUCUGCAUUAGAACAGUUUGAAGGUGGCCCCUGUGCUGUUAUUGCACCCGUUCAGGCAUUUCUUUUGAAGAAGCUCCUGUUUUCUUCUGAGAAGUCUUCUUGGAGGGAUUGCCAAGAGGGAGAGCGGAAGGAACUCCUUUGUCACACCUUAUGUGCUAUUUUAGAAACUGCUUGUUGUAGCGACUCUGGCCCGUACUGCUUGGCUUCAUGGUUAAGAGGAAAGACGGCUGAGGAGACUGCUGGUCUUCCUGGGAGUCCUGCACAGUCUAGUUGCCAAAUGGACCAUUCUUCUGCCUUGGCUGUCGAAGAGCUUGGCUUUGAGCGAUUUCAUGCAUUAAUUCAAAAAAGAUCAUUCAGAAGUUUAUCAGAAUUAAAAGAUGCUGUCUUGGACCAGUAUUCAGUGUGGGGAAACAAAUUUGGAGUAUUGCUUUUUCUGUAUUCUGUGUUACUGACAAAGGGCAUUGAAAACAUAAAAAAUGAAAUUGAAGAUUCAAGUGAACCUUUGAUAGAUCCUGUGUAUGGACAUGGCAGCCAAAGUUUAAUUAACCUCCUUCUAACGGGACACGCAGUUUCUAACGUAUGGGACGGUGAUAGAGAAUGCUCAGGAAUGAAACUUCUUGGUAUACAUGAACAAGCAGCUGUAGGAUUCUUAACACUGAUGGAAGCAUUAAGAUACUGUAAGGUUGGUUCUUACUUGAAAUCUCCAAAAUUCCCUAUUUGGAUUGUUGGCAGUGAAACUCACCUCACCGUAUUUUUUGCCAAGGAUAUGGCUUUAGUUGCCCCUGAGGCUCCUUCAGAACAAGCCAGAAGAGUUUUUCAAACUUACGAUCCAGAAGAUAAUGGAUUCAUACCUGAUUCACUCCUAGAAGAUGUGAUGAAAGCAUUGGACCUUGUUUCAGAUCCUGAAUAUAUAAAUCUCAUGAAGAAUAAAUUAGAUCCAGAAGGAUUAGGAAUCAUAUUAUUGGGUCCAUUUCUUCAAGAAUUUUUUCCUGAUCAGGGUUCCAGUGGUCCAGAGUCUUUUACUGUCUACCACUACAAUGGACUGAAGCAAUCAAAUUACAAUGAAAAGGAAGGAGAUUAUUCUAGGAGUCUCUUCACUAUCAGAGCAUAUUUUAGACCUGGACUCAGUGAGCUCUUCAUUGGAAUGUUGGAGCAGUAGUGUCACUGGGACAAGAUAACUCCAUCUACAUACAUGUUGUUACCCUUGGGUGUUGUAGAUAUUACCAAAUCAAGUUUAGUGUGCUGAAAGUUACUGAUCUGUUUAAAUGGAGAAAGAAGGGGUAAGAGUGAGAUUUUUGAUUUAGAAAAAUAUUUUAAAGGAUUUAAAUUAACAUCCAUAACACCUAGCAUUUAUUGAGCAUUUACCUGGAAUUGGCUUAAGCACUUUGUUUUAUCUGAAGUUUAACACCAUCCCAUGAAGUAAGUAUUGCCUGUAUAUCCCCCUUUUACAGUGGAGGAAACUGCCGCAUGGGAGAGGUAAGCAGCUUGCCGCCGUCAGGCAGCCGGGAAACGGCGGAGCUGCGACGGGAGCCGAGGGUGUCCCCCUUAGAGCCCGCGGCUCACCCGCUGUGCUUUGCUCCACGGACAAAGGCACAUCAGUGCUUCACGUCCAGAUAUACGCACCGGCUUUAAAUCAAAACUUUGGUCUCGCCCAUUCACCCUCUUUGAUUAAUGAGCUUUGCCUACACCUAAGAUACAGCUCCUGUGUUUGCAUUUAUGCCAGUAACAGUCACAGUAGCUAUAGCUAAUAUUAGAAGGUGUAAAGCCUAACGUGCCUUUUUUGUGUGUGUGGGGGAAUACAGAAGUUAUUCCUUUAUUUUACUAUAACUUUUAAAUCUCAGAAAGCAGAAACCAAACCAAAAAACCAACUAUUUAUACAAAGAAAAUAAUAAACUAUAAAACUGUACUAAGGGAGUAAAGGAAGACUUGAACAAAUGAUGACAGAAAGGGUGAUAAUUGAGCACGCUGUGUUGCAGAGAGCAGGGCGAUUCCCGGCAGCGUCAACAGACUCACCCCUCACAGUUGGGAGCUCCCACUGGCUUUUGAGUUGGAAGGUGCCAUAGAGACAGUUGGUGCUGAACCGCUAUUUACUUCCCUCACGAAUGGCCUCCGGUGUCUUGAAAUACUGUGGCAGGGGGUGUCUUCUUCCAGUGCCAGCAACUGGCCCCAUUGUCCUGAAGCAAGUGGUUCCGUUUUUAAUACCUUAAACGAUUAACCUCUGUACUAGAGUAUAAUUGCUCUACAAUGGUGUGUCAGUUUCUGCUUUAUAACGAAGUGAAUCAGCUAUACACAUACAUGUAUCCCCAUAUCUCCUCCCUCUUGCGUCUCCCUCCCACCCUCGCUAUCCCACACCUCUAGGUGGUCACAAAGCACAGAGCUGAUCUCCCUGUGCGGCUGCUUCCCACUAGCUGUUUUACAUUUGGUGGCUAACAUGCCUUUUUAAUUUGAAAUACCCGUGCUGGUUUCAGAUGUAUCUAAAUUGGGGAUGGCUAGAGAAAAUAGAUCAUAAUGCAUAUUAGAUGCAUAAUUUCAGUUAGAGCAAAUCUAAACCUGCGACUAAAACUUAUUUUCAUAACAAUAUAAAUUAGAACUUUUGUUACAUUAGGUUUGAAGAUCUUUUUCAUAGUAAAAUGAUUGGCUGAUAUCUAUAGCAAAAUAUAAAUUGUCAGUAAGCCAGCUUGUAUGCUCUGUUCUAAUGUGUGUAAAUGAGUGCUUCCUCUAGAGUUUGAAGUUUUAUGUAGCCUUGUCAUAGAAGGUACUUUAUAGUCACUACUUAGUUCCUUGCCUAUACGAUCCCUGCAAGGUAGGCAGUCAAAUAUUAUCCAUAUUUUACAGAUGAGGCCUCUGAGACAGGGAGAUUAAGUGACUCACCCAGGGUCACACAGCAAGUCAUUGGCAGAGCAGGGAUUGGAACUGAGUUCCUGAUUCCCAAUCGUGUCCUUGGUCUGCUUGACCACGCUACCUGUAUAUAGUAAUGUAUGUGGAAGGAACCGCAGUUGUUAUGGGUUUUGAAGAUCCCAUGCUACAGACAGAUGACACUCCUAUUAAACGCUGUCUCCAAACCAAAUGGCCAUACAUUGAAUUACUCUGGACCACAGAUCGGUCUCCUUCACUAAACUGAUUUGCCGAAGUAUUUAUAAGGAAGAUUGUAGUAGCAGAUGUUGAAAGAGGGAUGAAAGACUGGCGAUUGG